rnacentral:pre_miRNA from 1 species
UACUCCCUCCGUCCCAUAAUAUAGCAACCUAGUACCGGAUGGGACAUUUUAUAGUACUAGGUUGCUAUAUUAUGGGACGGAGGGAGUAU